UACAGAGACUGCAAGCGUUAUUCGGAUUCACUGGGCGUAAAGGGCGCGUAGGCGGCACAGCAAGUCGGGAGUGAAAGCCCGGGGCUCAACCCCGGAAUGGCUUUCGAAACUGCUGAGCUAGAGUACAGAAGGGGCAACCGAAUUCCCAGUGUAGCGGUGAAAUGCGUAGAUAUUGGGAAGAACACCUGAGGCGAAGGCGGGUUGCUAGGCUGAUACUGACGCUGAGGCGCGAAAGCCAGGGAGCAAACGGG
rnacentral:rRNA from 1 species